UGGUGGAGGAAGAGGGCAGCUC
rnacentral:miRNA from 1 species